UACGUAGGUGGCAAGCGUUGUCCGGAAUUACUGGGUGUAAAGCGCGCGUAGGCGGUAGGCCAAGUCUGCUGUGAAAUCGCCCGGCUCAACUGGGCGCGGUCGGUGGAAACUGGUCAACUGGAGGACGGUAGAGGCGAGUGGAAUUCCCGGUGUAGUGGUGAAAUGCGUAGAGAUCGGGAGGAACACCAGUGGCGAAGGCGGCUCGCUGGGCCGGACCUGACGCUGGAGGCGCGAAGGCGUGGGGAGCGAACGGG
rnacentral:rRNA from 1 species